ensembl:miRNA mir15b microRNA mir-15b
UGAGUCCCUUAGACUGCUAUAGCAGCGCAUCAUGGUUUGUAACGAUGUAGAAAAGGGUGCAAGCCAUAAUCUGCUGCUUUAGAAUUUUAAGGAAA